rnacentral:misc_RNA from 1 species
CAGAACCAAGAGAUCCGUUGUUAAAAGUUUUAAUUUAUUAAUUAAGUUUACUCAGACUGCAAAGUUACGCAAGAGUUUGAAGUGUCCACCCGGAGCCCCCGCCCGAAGGCAGGGUCGCCCCGGAGGCAACAGAGUCGGACAACAAAGGGUUAUGAACAWCCCGGUGGUUAGACCGGGGUCACUUGUAAUGAUCCCU